rnacentral:lncRNA from 1 species
AUGUCCCCAGUGUCACCUUUGGGUGCCCCGUUGGGUGUCCCCAUUGGGUGUCACCCAUGGGUGUCGUGGUGGGUGUCCCCUGUGUCACCCUUGGGUGUCCCCUGUGUCAGCCAUGGCUGCCCUGCUGGGUGUCACCUUUGGGUGCUCUGCUGUGUGUCCCCAUUGGCUGUCACUCGUGUGUGCCAUGUUGGGUGUCACCCAUGGGUGCCCCAUUGGGUGUCUCCAUUGUCACCUUUGGGUGUCCUUUGCGUCGCCCUUCGGUGUCCCCUGUGUCACCCAUGGCUGCUUUGCUGUUAUCCCCAUUGGGUGUCACCCAUGGGUGCCAUGUUGGGUGUCCCCUGCGUCACCUUUGGGUGCCCCAUUCGGUGUCCCCUCUGUCACCCUUGGGUGCCCCCAUUGUCAUACAUGAGUGCCUGUUGGGUGUCCUUUGUGUCACCCACGGGUGCCCUGCUGGGUGUCCCGUGUGUCACCCUAGGGUGUCCCCUGUGUCACCCUUGGGUGCCCCCAUUGUCCCCACAGAUGUCCAGCUCCCCGCUGUCGAAGAAGCGCCGCGUGUCCGGGUCACCUCAGCGCCUCAGUGCCACCAACGUCCCCAGCACCGCCAGCCCCGCCAACGUGAGUGUCACCCGUUGUCACCUGUUGUCACCCAUUGUCCCCAUUGUCACCCCUUGUCCUCCCCAUUGUCACCCAGUACCCCUCCGUGUCACCCACUGUCACCCAUUGUCCUUUCAUUGUCACCCAGUGUCACCCAUUGUCCCCUUAGUGUCACCCGUUGUCCCCUUUGUCACCCCUUGUCCUCCCCAUUGUCACCCAGUGUCCCUCCGUGUCACCCACUGUCACCCAUUGUCUCUUCAGUGUCACCCACUGUCACCCAGUGUCACCCAUUGUCCCCUUAGUGUCACCCGUUGUCACCCAUUGUUCCCUUUGUCACCCCUUGUCCUCCCCAUUGUCACCCAAUGUCCCUCUGUGUCACCCACUGUCACCCAUUGUCCCUUCAGUGUCACCCACUGUCACCCACUGUCAUGGAUUGUCCCCUUAGUGUCACCCGUUGUCACCUGUUGUCCCCUUUGUCACCCGUUGUCCUCCCCAUUGUCACCCAAUGUCCCCCAGUGUCACCCACUGUCACCCAUUGUCCCCUUUGUUGUCACCCACUGUCCCUUCAUUGUCACCCAAUGUACCUCAGCGUCACCCCAUGACACCCAAUGUCCCUCUGUGUCACCCACUGUCACCCAUUGUCCCUUCAGUGUCACCCAUUGUCCCUUCAUUGUCACCCGUUGUCCCCCCGUUGUCACCCACUGUCACCCAGCGUCCCCUCAGUGUCACCCGUUGUCCCUUCAUUGUCACCUGUUGUCACCCAUUGUCACCCAUUGUCACCCCACUGUCACCCAUGGGUGUCCCCUGGGUUGGGAUUUUGGGGUUCCUUGGAGCUCUCUGUCCCCUCUUUGUCACCCGUUGUGUCCCCAAAUGUCCCCAAACGGCCCCAAAUGCCCCCAGAGUGGCCCCAAAUGGCCCCAUAAUGUCCCCAAUGUCCCCAUUGACCCUAUAAUGUCCCCAUUGACCCCAUAGCGUCCCCAAUGUCCCUAUUGACCCCAUAAUAUUCCCGUUGACCCCAUUGACCCCAUGAUCUGUCCGCUGACCCCAUCAUGUCCCCACUGACCCCAUCAUGUCCCCAUUGACCCCAUAACGUCCCUGCUGACCCCAUAAUAUCCCCAAUAUCCCAUUUGACCCUAUAAGGUCCCCGCUGACCCUAUAAUGUCCCCAUUGAUCCCAUAAUGUCGCCAAUAUCCCAUUUGACCCUAUAAAGUCCCCAUUGACCCUACUGACCCCAUAAUGUCCCCACUGACCCCGUAACGACCCCACUGACCCCAUAAUGUCCCCACUGACCCCAUUGACCCCAUAAUGUCCCGAUAAUGUCCCCAUUGACCCCAUAAAGUCCCCACUGACCCCAUAAUGACCCCAUUGACCCUAUAAAGUCCCCAUAAUGUCCCUAUUGACCCCAUAAAGUUCUCACUGACCCCAUAAUGUCCCCAAUAUCCCAUUUGUCCCUAUGAAGUCCCCAUUGACCCCAUAACGUUCCCAUUGAUCCUAUAAAGUCCCCGCUGACCCCAUAAUGUCCCCAUUGACCCCAUUGACCCCAUAAUAUCCCCAUAAAGUCCCCGCUAACCCUAUAACAUCCCCAUUGACCCCAUAAGGUCCUCAUUGAUCCCAUCAGGUCCCCACUGACCCCAUAAGGUCCUCAUAAUGUCCCCGCUGACCCCAUUGAUCCCAUAAUGUCCUCGCUGACCCCAUAAUGUCCUCGCUGACCCCAUAAUGACCCCAUUGACCCUAUAAUGUUCCCGUAACGUCCCCAUUGACCCCGUAAUGUCCACAUUGACCCCAUAAUGUCCCCACUGACCCCAUAAUGUCCCUCCUGACCCUAUAAGGUCCUCAUUGACCUCACAAUGUCCUCAUAAUGUCCCGGCUGACCCCAUAAAGCCCCCACUGACCCCAUAUAUCCCCAUUGACCCCAUAAUGUCCCCAUAAAGUCCCCUCUGACCCCAUAAUGUCCCCGCUGACCCUAUAAUGA